rnacentral:rRNA from 1 species
CAAUAGCGUAUAUUAAAGUUGUUGCAGUUAAAAGCUCGUAGUUGAAUUUCUGGUGUCGGAGGCCGGUCCGGACCCUCUGGGUCUGUGUACUGGAGCCGUCUGGCAUCAUCCUUCUAGAGAGCGCGCGUGGCAUUGACUUGUCGUGCGCGGGAUCUAGAUCGUUUACUGUGAACAAAUUAGAGUGUUUAAAGCAGCCGAUUGCGUUGAAUACAUUAGCAUGGAAUAAUAAGAUAGGACUUGGGUGCUAUUUUGUUGGUUUGCGUACCGAGGUAAUGAUUAAUAGGGAUAGUUGGGGGUAUUCAUAUUUAAUUGUCAGAGGUGAAAUUCUUGGAUUUAUGAAAGAUGAACUUCUGCGAAAGCAUUUACCAAGGAUGUUUUCAUUAAUCAAGAACGAAAGUUAGGGGAUCGAAGAUGAUUAGAU